CAUCACUUUGGACCACUCAAAGACACAGUCUACUUGCUGUUUAACCAAGUCUUUGGUCGGAGGUGAAGAAGAGAUGACAUCCUCCACACCAUCCCCCUGCUGCUCUCAACAACCAUCAUCGCUGUGCUGGACAGACUGCAGCACCCACCAGGACCGUUCUCUCAUGGACUACACAAACAUGUGUUUUACCUGCUCGUGCUCCAGAUGUCCUGAAGCAGCUCUCAAGGACCACCAGACACCAGGCUGAAGCAGAACUGAUGCUGUAGUACCUGUCACUCACUUGGCUCGUUCCUGCUGAACCUCCAAGAGAUAAACCCCUCUUCAAGAAAGUCUGAGGUAAUGUCUUGGUGAACUUAGUUAUCUUAGCUGCUGUAUUAAUGCUUGUGACGCUAUUGUACAGCUCUGCUGAUAUCAUCGUCUUUAACAGCAGUGUUUUCUCCCAGGUCUUCUUCAAGCCAGUUAAGAGAGGAAGAACAGCUUAGACACUCAGGCAGCUGAACGCACCAAAGGUGGACAUCAUGCAGCCACCCUGAGCCUUGAGCCUCUCUGUGUGAGGAAGCUUUGCUGCUGCAGACCUGGUGAAGUUGCUCUGGACAGAAAUAUUUUUUGCUCUGCUGCAGUGCUGAAGGUAUUCAUUGUAAUGAUGUGUGUAUUUAUUCAACGUGUUUAGUUUCACAGAUUAUCAACACAAAUGUUUCUGUUUAUUUCCUGUUUUGAACCAGCUACAUUCUCCUACUUCAAGUCACUGUCUGUUCAUCCACGGUGUAGCCAGUGCAGCUCAGCAGAGUCCUACUAAUGGUGAUCCUUCAAGUCCUGCAGCCCUAUGAAGCAAGCUGCAGCAGAUGUCAACACAUUCAGAUCAUCAGUUUAUCUUUACUGCAGCUUUAAACUUUCCCCGAGGUAACGGUGUAUUUCCUUGCCCCAUAACAAAAACCAUGUUUGACCAACAUAGAAAAGCACAGAAUUACUGUUAGCACAGGAUUACAGAGUUAAAGUGAAGGGGAUUUUGUUUGUUUUUUUCAGACCUCUCCUCCUCCUGCCUCUGACUCCAGUGAUGCUGUCAACUCGAACACUGAUAACUGCACACAGCGAUCCUACAACCACAGGUCAAAGGUCAAAACAUUACCUCACUCUAAACCUUCACUCUGAACUGUACCGGGCUCUGCUUUUGGUUUUGAAAAAAAGUGCCCAGACAGAACAUAGUACUCACUUGAGGAACUGACU